UACGUAGGGGGCAAGCGUUGUCCGGAAUCAUUGGGCGUAAAGAGCGUGUAGGCGGCCAGAUAAGUCCGCUGUGAAAUCUCGAGGCUCAACUUCGAGCUGUCGGUGGAAACUGUCUGGCUAGAGUCCGGAAGAGGAGAGUGGAAUUCCCGGUGUAGCGGUGAAAUGCGCAGAUAUCGGGAAGAACACCCGUGGCGAAGGCGGCUCUCUGGGACGGUACUGACGCUGAGACGCGAAAGCGUGGGGAGCGAACAGG
rnacentral:rRNA from 1 species